UCAUACUAUCCGGGGCGGUAGCGGUGCCCUGUACCUGAAAUCCGCUAUAGCAGGGGGGAAUUCCCUUUUUGAGGGGUAUUCUUGUGUGGUCUGCACCUUUAGCAGAAGCGUUGACAGAUGAGUCUUACGCAAUUGUCGGCUGUGAACCGUGUCAGAUGGGGGACCAAGCAGCACUAAGCAGUUGUGAUGAUGUGCCGUGAGAGUGCUUGUCUCGAGCCUAUGUUAAAGGAACGCGCAUGUAAGGAUAUUUCAAUCUUAGGGUGUAUGA
rnacentral:SRP_RNA from 1 species